CCUACGGGUGGCAGCAGUGAGGAAUAUUGGUCAAUGGACGAGAGUCUGAACCAGCCAAGUAGCGUGAAGGAUGACUGCCCUAUGGGUUGUAAACUUCUUUUAUAUGGGAAUAAAAUGUUGCAGGUGUGGGAUUUUGUAUGUACAAUAUGAAUAAGGAUAGGAUAACUCCUUGCCAGCAGACGCGGUAAUACGGUGGAUCCGAGCGUUAUCCGGAUUUAUUGGUCUUACAGGGAGCGUAGGUGGAUUGUUAAGUCAGUUGUGAAAGUUUGCGGCUCAACCGUAAAAUUGCAGUUGAUACUGGCAGGCUGGAGUACAGUAGAGGUGGGUGGAAUUCGUGGUGUAGCGGUGAAAUGCUUAGAGAGCACGAAGAACUCCGAUUGCGAAGGCAGCUCACUGGACUGCAACUGACACUGAGGCUCGAAAGUGUGGGUAUCAAACAGGAUUAGAUACCCGAGUAGUC
rnacentral:rRNA from 1 species